rnacentral:rRNA from 1 species
CUCCGCCGGCGACCGGCGCACGGGUGAGUAACGCGUAUGCAACCUGCCCGUUUCAGCGGGAUAACCCGGAGAAAUCCGGCCUAAUACCGCAUGUGGCCGAGGGGAGGCAUCUUCUUUCGGCCAAAGGAGGCGACUCCGGAGACGGAUGGGCAUGCGUGACAUUAGCUAGUUGGCGGGGUAACGGCCCACCAAGGCGACGAUGUCUAGGGGUUCUGAGAGGAAGGUCCCCCACACUGGUACUGAAACACGGACCAGACUCCUACGGGAGGCAGCAG